UACGGGGGGGGCGAGCGUUGUUCGGAAUUACUGGGCGUAAAGGGCGCGUAGGCGGUGUGUCAAGUCAGGCGUGAAAGCCCCGGGCUCAACCUGGGAACGGCGCUUGAGACUGGCACGCUCGAGUUCGGGAGAGGAUGGUGGAAUUCCCAGUGUAGAGGUGAAAUUCGUAGAUAUUGGGAAGAACACCGAUGGCGAAGGCAGCCAUCUGGACCGACACUGACGCUGAGGCGCGAAAGCGUGGGGAGCAAACAGG
rnacentral:rRNA from 1 species